rnacentral:rRNA from 1 species
AUGGGGCUGCCGGCACUCAAUCGGCUCAUGUCUAUGCAGCGCGAUCGGCGUCGCCGGCCAACUCAAGGCCGCAAUGGACUGGUGACUUCAUCCCUGGCUAAAAGGAAGGACUCACCCUGCAUACAUGAUGAAAAUUCUCGACUUGAUAAAAAAUCGAGAUAUUCAGGACCACCCCUUCUAGAGGACAUUUGGCAUCAUAUACAUUCUCUGCUUCCUCUGCGAGAUGCUGCACGUGUUGCCUGCGUGUCUCAUUCAUUUAGAAGUUCUUGGAGUUGUUUUCCCAAUCUCAGCUUAACUAGGGAAACACUGGGUUUGGAUAACGGGGUGGAUGGAUUGUCAUGUCCAUGUGAAGUAGCGAUGGAUCUUGCAAGGAAAACCGACCAUAUUCUAAAAAACCACUCAGGCAUUGGCGUUAAGGCACUCAAGCUUGAAAUAUGUGAUUUCCCCUUUUUCAACACCUCCUGUGAUCUCGAUCGUUGGCUUCAUAUUGCUGUCAAACCAGGGAUUGAGGAACUUAACCUCCGGCUUAUUGAAUCUCGUGCAUCUCUUUGUCGAGAAAAAUCUCAUGCGGCUCUUUGUCGAAAGAUAUCUCAAAAAUCACAUGCAACUGUGUACAACUUUCCAUGCUCACUUUUAGAUGGGAGUGGCAAGUCGAUCCAGCAGCUUUAUCUCAACAACUGUGCCCUCCGUCCCACGGUUGCACUUGGCCGCUUAAGAAGCCUGACUAGUCUAAAUUUUUUUUUUGUGCGUAUUACAGAAAAUGAGUUAAGGUGCCUUUUUUCCAGUUCAAUUGCUUUGGAGAAACUGACACUCAGGUCCUGCGAUGAAUUAUUUUUCCUGGAGAUACCUAGCCUGUUGCAGCGGCUUAGCCACCUGGUUGUUGAGGAGUGUACAAAUCUGGAAGUGAUAAAGAGCAAAGCCCCUCAUCUGUACAGUUUUGGAUAUCGUGGUACCCUAGUACGACUAUCUCUUGGUGAUUCAUUGCAAAACCUAUACAUUGAUGCUUCAGAUCAGGACGUUGUUCAUCAUGCUUGUGCCGAUCUUCUGCACGUGGUGCCAAAUCUUGAAGCUCUUGAAAUAUCUUCAUAUUAUCCGAUGGAUACACUGGUGGUACCUGGCAAAUUUCUCCACCUCCAACGACUAUGUAUUGGGUUUUUUACCCCAGACUAUGACUAUUUGUCUCUGGUUUCUUUACUCGAUGCGUGUCCUUCCUUGGAGACUUUUGUAUUGUCCGUAGAGCCAGAUCGCGUGAGGAAAGAAUCAGUUUUAGGAAAUUCUUCUCAUAAUCUAAUCCAGAUGCCAGGCCACAUGCAUAGGAACAUAAAGGAUGUGCAUAUCAUUGGCUUCUGUUAUGCAAACAGCAUGGUUGAGCUAACAUGCCAUAUACUUGAGAAUGUGAAGUCGCUUGAGUACCUUACACUGAGCAUCUCUGGGGAUGAUGAAAUUUUGUGUUCUAAAAGUGAAAAUGGUAUAUGCCUUCGAAUGAACAAGUAUAUGAGGAUGGAAGCCCGCAAAGCACUCUUGGCCGUGGAAAGACACAUUUUGGGGAAAGUUCCAUCUACCGUAGAGUUAGAAGUUGUGAAGCCUUGCAGCCGGUGCAAUACUCUUUAA